rnacentral:rRNA from 1 species
GCCUAUAAACCCGCGUUUAGGCGGCUUAAUAUUCAAAGAUGAGAAACCCCCGGGCCUUACCCCCGGAAACCUCCUUGUAAUACUUUUGGGCCUAGUUUUAGUUGAGAGGGAGGGAGAAUUUUCUGGUGCAGCGGUGAAUUGAGUAGAGUUCUGAGGGAAUACCGAUGGCGAAGGCACCCUCCUGGCAUCAUACUGACAUUGAGGUUCGAAAGCGUGGGUAGCAAACAGGAUUAGAUACCCUGGUAGUCCACGCCGUAAACGAUGUCUACUAGUCGUUGGGGAACUUGAUUCCUUAGUGACGCAGCUAACGCAAUAAGUAGACCGCCUGGGGAGUACGGCCGCAAGGUUAAAACUCAAAUGAAUUGACGGGGGCCCGCACAAGCGGUGGAGCAUGUGGUUUAAUUCGAUGCAACGCGAAGAACCUUACCUGGUCUUGACAUAUCUAGAAUCCUGCAGAGAUGCGGGAGUGCCUUCGGGAAUUAGAAUACAGGUGCUGCAUGGCUGUCGUCAGCUCGUGUCGUGAGAUGUUGGGUUAAGUCCCGCAACGAGCGCAACCCUUUUCCUUAGUUACCAGCGGUUAGGCCGGGGACUCUAAGGAUACUGCCAGUGACAAACUGGAGGAAGGCGGGGACGACGUCAAGUCAUCAUGGCCCUUACGACCAGGGCUACACACGUGCUACAAUGGUAGGUACAGAGGGCUGCUACACAGCGAUGUGAUGCGAAUCUCAAAAAGCCUAUCG